rnacentral:rRNA from 1 species
UGUCGUCAGCUCGUGUCGUGAGAUGUUGGGUUAAGUCCCGCAACGAGCGCAACCCUUGUUCACUGUUGCCAGCACGUUAUGGUGGGGACUCAGUGGAGACCGCCGGGGUCAACUCGGAGGAAGGUGGGGAUGACGUCAAGUCAUCAUGCCCCUUAUGUCCAGGGCUUCACGCAUGCUACAAUGGCUGGUACAGAGGGCUGCGAUACCGCAAGGUGGAGCGAAUCCCAUAAAGCCAGUCUCAGUUCGGAUUGGGGUCUGCAACUCGACCCCAUGAAGUCGGAGUCGCUAGUAAUCGCAGAUCAGCAACGCUGCGGUGAAUACGUUCCCGGGCCUUGUACACACCGCCCGUCAAGUCAUGAAAGUCGGAAACACCCGAAGCCGGUCGCCCAACCACUUGUGGAGGGAGCCGUCGAAGGUGAAGCCGGCGAUUGGGACUAAGUCGUAACAAGGUAGCCGUACCGGAAGGUGCGGCUGGAUCACCUCCUUU